ensembl:lncRNA
CUCUCAACUCAAACGUGACUGUGCCCCUGCUAACGGGACAGGUGCUUUGCCCAGGGAGCCUCUCUCCUUCCCCCCCGCAUCUGCACGCUUCCGCUUCCUCUUCUUGCUUGCUCCUGCCUCCCAGACUUCCAGCCAGUGCUGCGGGGGAUCACAGAGGCGGGCAGACCGGGCAAAUGGGGCUGGGCACACAAAAAGCAGCAGCCAAAGAGUCAGCUUCCCUGCUUACAGGGGACCCCCGGCCACUGCCGCCAUGAAAAGGGCCUGGGACUCCGGGACACAGAUGCUCCCUGACUUACAGGGCAGCCCCCAUCCCUACGGCCGAGGGAGGCUCCUUCUCUCCCAGUCCGGGGCACCUCGACCCACACCCCGCUAGCGGGGCGGUCACCCCACACAGGCUGCCAGCAGAGCACAAACGCUCGCGCACCCAGACCCUGAUUACAGGCGGGUGGACAACACCCCUGGAGCCACAGAGCUCGGUUUCCCCCCCAGCGGCAGGAGCAACUCUCAGCAGCCAGGCAGCGGGGCGGCACGGCCAAAGGCCGCAGUCGGGAUCCCAGCCCCGAUUCCAGGGAGGGCGCAAGCCCCACCCCGCAUCUCACGGCCCCGCGCCUCUGAAAGGCCGGGGCCACAUUCCCACCUGAGUACAGGGGGUCUCUCAGAACGCAGCUCACCAAGCACACACGGGGGGCACACACAGCCCUGCCUACAGGACGUACCCCCACACCUCACCCUCUUCAAGAAGCCCCGCGGAGCACGAGGCUCCCGCCAACGCCUGAGUUACAGGCUGGCCCGCCCGGCAGCAGCAGAACAUCACCAACGUCUCGUCUUUGGAAGCCCAGGGAGCUACCUCGACCCACCGAGCGGGGAGGUCACCCCACACACAAACAGCACCUCAACCUGCACCCUCUGACGGGACAGGGAGGGGUCACUCCCACCAGCUGGAUGGCUAAAGCAGCCGGCUGCAACGCUGCAGCCUCCCCACACCUGAUUACAGGGCGGGCGGGCUGCUCAGGGACAGAGGGCUCCAAAGCUUGGGACACACACCCCGAGUACGGGGCUGUCACCGCCGCCAGCAGGACAGGCGGCCACGCAAGGACAGGCCCAAGCCCUGGCUACAGGGAGGCCUUGGCCACAGAACUACCGUGUGGCUCUGAUCUGCACUAAGGAAAAUAGUAGGAAGACAGGACACUCGCUGCGCUCGCAGGACUAAGAGGGAACACCCCUUUUGCGGCAUGCACCAAAGUCCUCCAUUCCCCCCUGGGAAGUCAAAGCUAAGCUGCAGCCAUCUUUGUGGAGGCCUAAAGGGAAAGCACACCCGCUCAACCACUCCACAAACACAAACAAGGAAAGGAAGGGAACACGCACACACAGGCACGACUUUCCAGAAGGGAAGGACAACGCAGCACAGCCAACACCUGGGAAUAAACCCACAACCACGGGCAACAGACAAGAGCCUGUGACCUGUCCCUAGGCUGCACGGAGGCCACAGACCUCAACGUGCCAAGGGGCUUCUCAGGUAAAGCCAGCGGCCAAAUGCCGUGACGCACACCCCGAGUACGGGGCCGUCGCGUUGACAAGCCACCAUCAGGCAACGAUGCCGAGGGGCCGGGGAGGAAGAGGGGCAGGGAAACGGCACUACCCUGCUUACAGGGUGGCCUCGGGGUCCGGCGAGCUCCAUUUCCCACUCAGGUGCGGAGAGGUGGCUCUCGCCCUCCGUUACAGGGGGCCACGCUCCCCAGGCAGCCAAAGGAGCAGCAAGGCAAAAGGCCAACUACAGCAAAGACCCGAGCCCCGCUUACGGGGAGGUCGCCCAGCACAACGCCAGCCUGGUCACCAAAGGCGCCGGCAGCUCUCAACUCAAACGUGACUGUGCCCCUGCUAACGGGACAGGUGCUUUGCCCAGGGAGCCUCUCUCCUUCCCCCCCGCAUCUGCACGCUUCCGCUUCCUCUUCUUGCUUGCUCGCUCCUGCCGCCCAGGUCCCCACGCUGCUUCUUCUUCUUUCUUCUGCAGCAGCUCCUGAAACAUCAGCGGGGACACCAUUAGACCUGCGUGGUGGCAAGCCCCCCACCUGGCAGAAAAGGCAAACGCAGCAUCGCAAAGGAACUCGGCACGCGGCCACCCAGCCAAGAAAGGCCUCGCAGCCCUGUUCCCUUCCUCCCCCCCACCCCCAGCUUCAUCCCAGCAAAAACUACUUCGAGCAGCUUUUCUCACCUCACUGAUGUGCGGCGGACUUCCAGCCAGUGCUGCGGGGGAUCACAGAGGCGGGCAGACCGGGCAAAUGGGGCUGGGCACACAAAAAGCAGCAGCCAAAGAGUCAGCUUCCCUGCUUACAGGGGACCCCAGCCGCUGCUUCCAGUACAAAGACAAUUCUUCUCAUUGCAGUAACUGUUUUGUAUUAUUUCAAUCAUGGUUGUAUCUUCAUUGUCCUGAUAUCUGAGUGUACCCCUUGUAACAGUGAAAUUUUUUUCUCCGUGGUCAUCUUCUCUUUUUUAUCUAAUAUUCUGUCUUUUACAAAUUUGUCUUAUUUCCUCAUUCACC